rnacentral:rRNA from 1 species
UACGGGGGGUGCGAGCGUUGUCCGGAAUCACUGGGCGUAAAGGGCGCGUAGGUGGUUUGAUAAGGGUGUGGUGAAAGUCCGGGGCUCAACCCCGGAUCUGCCGUGCCGACUGUCAAACUCGAGGACUGUAGAGGCAGACGGAAUUCCGGGUGUAGCGGUGGAAUGCGUAGAGAUCCGGAGGAACACCAGCGGCGAAGGCGGCAUCCUGGACUGGUCCUGACACCUCGAUGAGCGAAAGCGUGGGGAGCGAGUCCGG